UCUAAUGGCUAAAGGAGAGAAAGAAAACAAUUAAGAAAAAAAGAAGUUUCAAAGCGCUCGUUAUUGCUAUUUAUAGAGAAGGUGAUUUGAGGAGAUGAUGUCGCCGGUAUUUCUCCUCCAACAAUAUCGUCAGAGACAAAAAUUUUUCCAGGUUCCUGGCGUUGGUCCUCAAAGACUAAAGCAUUCCGCGCCAACCAAAUCUGCCAUAGAAGAUAAGCCACCUGAGCACUUCUGAUUCUGAAAUUGGGUUUUGAUUUCUUAACUUCUAUGAAUUGACUCCACCAAUCCUAAACUUUUAGGUUAGGGUCGCGGGAAUAGUGCUUGCUACUUCCAAAUUUGAAGAACUUCUGGGCAGAAGACAAUGGCAUGCAUCGGUGUCUCCGGCGCUGAUUGAUAGCGGGGACAAAGCCUGCUAACUUGUGGUUUUUCACAUUUCUGAGUCUGCAUAUCGGGGUGAAAGAAUUGUAAUUUGUUGGAUUUGCUGAGCUGUGUCGAGUGAGAAAGCUUCCAUAAGGAGUUGCUGAUUCCAUUCUCCCUCAGGUGUGAUUAACUGUCUAACCCAGGUACAGUUCAGAUAAGUUUGGUAGAGUUCGUGUGCAAGAAAAGGAAAGAGUUUGGAAGCUGUCCACUAGGGAGCUAAACGUCAAGCCUGGCGUUUAGCGCCAACAACACAGAACGAAAGAGGAGUUUCUACCCACAAGGGUGCUAAACGCUGCAGUUGGCGUUUAGCGCCAGCAAUCCAGACCACAUUCUCACUAUUGAAACAUCUUUAUUUGGAUUUAACUUUUAAUUAUUCUAUCUUAUUUUAUUUUGGUUAUUUUUAAUUACAAAGAAAAUCUUUUAGGUUUAGAAUUUAUUAUUUUAUUUUAGUUUCAAAUCAAAUUAGGUUAGGUAUAAAAGGGAAAAGAUUCUACCAUUAGGGGGAUUUUCUCACUUCCUCACUUUUAUAUUUUCUAAACCUUAGUUUUCUCUCUGAAGCAUGAGCUACUAAACCUCCUCAAUUAAGGUUAGGACUAUGUUUAU